AAAUGAGGACCAUGCGACACUUUCAUGACAAACGCAGGAAUGAAUGUCCACUGACAGUCGGGUCCUCCCUUCACCACCCCUCAUGGCUCGGUGUCGGAUGAGUGGUGGCAGUGGACGUGCUGAGGAAAGAGGCCCAGUCAGGCGGCCAGAAAUCCAGCAGGCUGGUCCCAAGGCAGCCCAGGGAGGAAGGGGUUAAACUGAUGGCCACACACCAACAUAGAGGCCAAGCUGGGCUCCAGCCCCAUCCGCACUUGAAAUCCAGCGCCUGUCCGUCACCAUCACCAAGUAAGACAAAGAAAUUAAGGAUCAGGGAGAUUACGUGUCUUGUCCACGAACACAACUCGAAAGUGGCAGAGCAGGGACUUGAAGGGGAGUCUGUCUGACUCCAGGGUCCAUGCUCUCGCCCCAGUGGCAGGAGGUUCCUGACCUAGGCACCGGGGUCACUGCUCUUCCAGGCCCAGAGCUGACCACCCACUCCCGGCCACAGGCUCUGGGGCUCGUUCAUGACCAACCGAACACGAUCCCUGACCAGCCACUCACAGCACAUGCCUUAUCGCUUUUGCAAUUGUCAACUUCCUUUUGGGUCGUCCCCCUUCCUAUCUUUUCUGGUCCCU
rnacentral:lncRNA from 1 species